rnacentral:rRNA from 1 species
AUUGAACGCUGGCGGCAUGCCUUACACAUGCAGGUCGAACGGCAGCACGGGGCAACCUGGUGGCGAGUGGCGAACGGGUGAGUAAUGCAUCGGAACGUACCUUUCAGUGGGGGAUAACGUAGCGAAAGUUACGCUAAUACCGCAUAUUCUGUGAGCAGGAAAGCAGGGGAUCGCAAGACCUUGCGCUGAUUGAGCGGCCGAUGUCAGAUUAGCUAGUUGGUGAGGUAAAGGCUCACCAAGGCGACGAUCUGUAGCGGGUCUGAGAGGAUGAUCCGCCACACUGGAACUGAGACACGGUCCAGACUCCUACGGGAGGCAGCAGUGGGGAAUUUUGGACAAUGGGGGCAACCCUGAUCCAGCCAUGCCGCGUGAGUGAAGAAGGCCUUCGGGUUGUAAGGCUCUUUCGGCCGGGAAGAAAUCGCACGGGCUAAUACCCUGUGUGGAUGACGGUACCGGAAUAAGAAGCACCGGCUAACUACGUGCCAGCCGCCGCAGUAAGAC